AUAACUCGAGCUUGAGUUAGGAAACUUGCCUCGAUUGUAGGUUACGGCUACGAAAUUAAAUUUCUAUCCACUAUGCAGUUAAAUUAUCUUCCUUUGAGAGACCUAUAAUUAAUCUUUCAAUUAGUCAAAGCAUAACAUUAGAUUAUGUAAUCACAUAGAUAUUAUACAUUACAUUUAGUUCUUAUAAACAUUAUCCUGUCUAGAUAGUGUUACUAUUAAUUAACGACUACCUUUAAUUCACAUAAUAUUAUUAACUUAGAUAAUAUUUA
rnacentral:lncRNA from 1 species